rnacentral:lncRNA from 1 species
CUGGUGGAGUGAAACCUGCCUUUCAUCCGUGCAUCUAAACAUCUGAAUCACCUUCAAAAUGAUCACCAAGGUCGGAAGCCAGCCGGAAAGACGGAAGAUAUUUGAUGAGGUUUCCAAGAAAAUUAUUCAAAUUACGUGUCAGUGCACAGGACCACAAAAAUUUUGUGACAAGCAAGAACCAAACCCCGCGUAUCUCACCAAUUCGGAAGCGUCCACUAACCACACUCUGCAGAGGCACCCUCUAUGUUGAAAUUGAUGACUAAUUCCAUCAAAG